AAUUAAAAUUCCUAAAUAAAACUCUAAGUUUCCUAUACUUCAUUAUUCUCCCCUAGUUGGAGAAAACUCGACCUCGAGUUCUGAAGUCUGGACAGAUCAUGAACCACGUGAGAAGAACACACAAUAUCAUCAUCUUGGUUGGUAGCAACGAGAAUGGAACAAAAAUCUCAAUUUCUUUUACAUUCUUGUAAAUUCCGAACAAAUAAAAUCAGUCAACAAUAAUUAAAAGGUUCUUAGGAACAGGAUUCCAAUUUUCAAAUUCCCUUGUCGGCUCAAAAAAUUGAUUUUCUUGAACUUCAAUAGGAGUCUCCAUGGCUAGAUUGGCUUCAUCAACUAUUUGCUCUAGAAUAGGUUCUUCAAGUGAGGUGCAACAAUCAAAGCUUUGGAUUUUUUAAUCUCAGACUCUUCAAGUUUAGGUUUUUCAAGGUGCUCCUUUUUAAUUUCAUCUUCAAUCUCAAGUUGCUUUUCGAAUUCAAGCUUCUCUUGUUGUUCUUGUUGUUGUUGCUUGCUUUUUCAAGACUUCUUGCCUUUAUUGUUUCAAUACUUUUUAUCAUAUUCAACUGUGCUCUCAAUUGAAACAGAUGUUCUUUCCAUUCUUCAAAUUCUUCAAGUUCUUUCCCCUUGACUUGUUGACGAGUCUAUUGAAUCUAAUACUAAUUCUUAAAUUUUUCAAAGGCUUUCUCCCUAAAUUGUAAAAUUUGCUGAAUACUUUGAUAUUCAUCAAAUAAUCCACAAGUAGCAUAUUCAAGACUACCACAUAAAUCCAUCAAAUAGCAUAUUUCACCAAAUUGUUCAUAAUAAUCAUCAAUUUC
rnacentral:misc_RNA from 1 species